rnacentral:lncRNA from 1 species
GACGGCUGAAACCGAGGUCCCGGCGCGCGGGGCCCAGGCGCCGUGCAGUGAGAGCACGCCGCUUGACCGAAGGGGCGGGGCCUGAAGGCUGAGCGCAGUCGCGAGGCUGUAGUUGGCAGGAGAGCGGGCGGGGCCUGAAGCCCCUCUGGGCUGCCUGGACGGAUGAAGUCCAGGUGGAAAGCCAGUCGACGUUUCCCGGGAGCUACGACUCCAGGGACCCUCAUCCGAGCUUAACCGUUGGAACAAUCACAAACCCAGAAACUUUUAGCUGAGUGUUAUUUAUAAAAAGCGCUGUUUUGACUGCUGUUGGACUUGGAAAAGCUUUGCCCACGAUACUGAAGCGUAAUUAGCUGCCUACUUUUCAAAAUUAUGUGAUGACUUCAUGGGAAAAGAGAUUCACAAGAACCAGUAACAGGAAAGCUUAAAUAAGCUUGGAAAUCUUUAAACUUUCAAUAUCGGUAAGCAAUGAUCAUUUUUAAUCACCCAAAUUCAUAAGAUUUGAUCAAAGGAAAAAUGUAGUGUUUUGGUGAUAUGCAGGAAGUAUGAAAUGCAUGCUACUAAUGAUUGAACAGUACAUCUUUGGUAUGGCAGAAAAAUGUAGUUUUAUUUGUUUUGUUUUUGACUUAAGGUAUGUCAAUCUUUUUUUUUUUUUUUUUUUUUUUUUUUUAAUUGAUCAUUCUUGGGUGUUUCUCGCAGAGGGGGAUUUGGCAGGGUCAUAGGACAAUAGUGGAGGGAAGGUCAGCAGAUAAACAAGUGAACAAAGGUCUCCGGUUUUCCUAGGCAGAGGACCCUGCGGCCUUCCGCAGUGUUUGUGUCCCUGGGUACUUAAAGAUUAGGGAGUGGUGAUGACUCUUAACGAGCAUGCUGCCUUCAAGCAUCUGUUUAACAAAGCACAUCUUGCACCGCCCUUAAUCCAUUUAACCCUGAGUGGACACAGCACAUGUUUCAGAGAGCACAGGGUUGGGGAUAAGGUCACAGAUCAACAGGAUCCCAAGGCAGAAGAAUUUUUCCUAGUACAGAACAAAAUGAAAAGUCUCCCAGGUCUACUUCCAUCCACACAGACCCGGUAACCAUCCGAUUUCUCAAUUCUUUCCCCACCCUUCCCGCCUUUCUAUUCCACAAAACCGCCAUUGUCAUCAUGGCCCAUCACCAAUGAGCCGCUGGGCACACCUC